rnacentral:lncRNA from 1 species
AUCCACUAGAUCCAUAAGCCCGUAACGGAAAAUAGCCUUUCUUUUCCCAAACCUCGUUCGAUCCCGAACUGCAUUCAAAAAUGAAGCAAGGACUUGGUUCUCUGAGCAAAGUAGUCUAGCCGUAACCGCUACAGUCAAAAAAGUCAAGUAAGAAAUGAUAGAAUGAGGUAGUUUACUAGCUUGGCCAAAGGGAAAGGACUAUUCAAGCAUUCAUUCCA